CCAAUAGCGUAUAUUAAAGUUGUUGCAGUUAAAAAGCUCGUAGUUGAAUUUUGGGUCUGGCCGGGCGGUCCGCCCUCUGGGUGAGCACUGUUCCGACGCCGGGCCUAUCCUUCUGGUGAGUCGGCAUGUCCUUUAUUGGGUGUGCCGGGGAACCAGGACCAUUACCUUGAAAAAAUUAGAGUGUUCAAAGCAGGCGUAUGCUCGGAUACAUUAGCAUGGAAUAAUGAAAUAGGACGCGUGGUGCUAUUUUGUUGGUUUCUAGAACCGCCGUAAUGAUUAAUAGGGAUAGUUGGGGGCAUUAGUAUUCAAUUGUCAGAGGUGAAAUUCUUGGAUUUAUUGAAGACUAACUUCUGCGAAAGCAUUUGCCAAGGAUGUUUUCAUUAAUCAAGAACGAAAGUUAGGGGAUCGAAGACGAUCAGAUACCGUCGUAGUCUUAACCAUAAACUAUGCCGACUAGGAAUCGGGCGAUGUUAUUCUCAUGACUCGCCCGGCGCCUUAUG
rnacentral:ncRNA from 2 species